CUUUUAAAAGACCUAGUAAUAGGUAUGCUUUAGGAGGGGCUUGCGCCAUAUUAGUUAGUUGGUAGGGUAAUGGCCUACCAAGACGAUGAUGUGUAGCUGGACUGAGAGGUUGAACAGCCACAUUGGGACUGAGACACGGCCCAAACUCCUACGGGAGGCAGCAGUAGGGAAUUUUCGGCAAUGGAGGAAACUCUGACCGAGCAACGCCGCGUGAAUGACGAAGUACUUCGGUAUGUAAAGUUCUUUUAUCAAGGAAGAAAAGCAAAUGGCGAACCAUUUGUUUGCCGGUACUUGAUGAAUAAGCCCCGGCUAAUUAUGUGCCAGCAGCCGCGGUAAGACAUAAGGGGCAAGUGUUAUCCGGAAUUAUUGGGCGUAAAGGGUGCGUAGGCGGUCUAGUAAGUCAGUGGUGUAAUGGCAACGCUUAACGUUGUCCGGCUAUUGAAACUGCUAAACUUGAGUUAGAUAGAGGCGAGUGGAAUUCCAUGUGUAGCGGUAAAAUGCGUAAAUAUAUGGAGGAACACCAGAGGCGUAGGCGGCUCGCUGGGUCUUAACUGACGCUGAGGCACGAAAGCGUGGGGAGCAAACAGGAUUAGAUACCCUGGUAGUCCACGCCGUAAACGAUGAGUACUAAGUGUCGGGUUAAACCGGUACUGAAGUUAACACAUUAAGUACUCCGCCUGAGUAGUACGUACGCAAGUAUGAAACUUAAAGGAAUUGACGGGACUCCGCACAAGCGGUGGAUCAUGUUGUUUAAUUCGAAGAUACCCGAAAAACCUUACCAGGUCUUGACAUGUUUUUGCAAAAUGAUAGUAAUAUCGUGGAGGUUACCAGAAACACAGGUGGUGCAUGGUUGUCGUCAGCUCGUGUCGUGAGAUGUUAGGUUAAGUCCUAAAACGAGCGAAACCCUUAUCGUUAGUUGCCAGCACGUUAUGGUGGGGACUUUAACGAGACUGCCAAUGAUAAAUUGGAGGAAGGUGAGGAUCACGUCAAAUCAGCAUGCCCCUUAUGACCUGGGCUACAAACGUGAUACAAUGGCUGUUACAAAGGGUAGCUGAAACGCAAGUUCUUGGCCAAUCCCCAAAAACAGUCCCAGUCCGGAUUGAAGUCUGCAACUCGACUUCAUGAAGUUGGAAUCGCUAGUAAUCGCGAAUCAGCAUGUCGCGGUGAAUACGUUC
rnacentral:rRNA from 1 species